GAUGAACGCUAGCGGCAGGCCUAAUACAUGCAAGUCGAACGCACCGCAAGGUGAGUGGCAGACGGGUGAGUAACACGUGGGGAUCUGCCCAAUGGUACGGAAUAGCUCCGGGAAACUGGAAUUAAUACAGUAUGUGCCCUUCGGGGGAAAGAUUUAUCGCCAUUGGAUGAAACCGCGUCGGAUUAGCUAGUUGGUGAGGUAAAGGCUCACCAAGGCGACGAUCCGUAGCUGGUCUGAGAGGAUGAUCAGCCACACUGGGACUGAGACACGGCCCAGACUCCUACGGGAGGCAGCAGUGGGGAAUAUUGGACAAUGGGCGCAAGCCUGAUCCAGCCAUGCCGCGUGAGUGAUGAAGGCCUUAGGGUUGUAAAGCUCUUUCGCCGACGAAGAUAAUGACGGUAGUCGGAGAAGAAGCCCCGGCUAACUUCGUGCCAGCCGCCGCCGUAACAC
rnacentral:rRNA from 1 species